UUUAGCAUGGUCCCUUCACAAGGAUGACACACAAAUUUGUGAAGCGUUCCAUAUUUUU
rnacentral:snRNA from 1 species